rfam:Camelus ferus unplaced genomic scaffold scaffold386, whole genome shotgun sequence.
GAGGGUAUAGCUCAAGUGGUAGAGCACAUACUUAGCAUGCAGGAGGUCCUGGGUUCAAUCCUCAGUACAUCCU